rnacentral:rRNA from 1 species
AACGAACGCUGGCGGCAGGCCUAACACAUGCAAGUCGAACGAGAAGCCACCUUCGGGUGGUGGAAAGUGGCAGACGGGUGAGUAACACGUGGGAACGUGCCCUUUGGUUCGGAACAACUCUGGGAAACUGGAGCUAGUACCGGAUAAGCCCUACGGGGGAAAGAUUUAUCGCCGAAGGAUCGGCCCGCGUCUGAUUAGCUUGUUGGUGAGGUAAUGGCUCACCAAGGCGACGAUCAGUAGCUGGUCUGAGAGGAUGAUCGGCCACACUGGGACUGAGACACGGCCCAGACUCCUACGGGAGGCAGCAGUGGGGAAUAUUGGACAAUGGGCGCAAGCCUGAUCCAGCCAUGCCGCGUGAGUGAUGACGGCCUUAGGGUUGUAAAGCUCUUUCGCCAGGGACGAUAAUGACGGUACCUGGAUAAGAAGCCCCGGCUAACUUCGUGCCAGCCGCCGCCGUAA